UACAGAGGGUGCAAGCGUUGUUCGGAAUUAUUGGGCGUAAAGCGCGUGUAGGCGGCUUUGCAAGUCGGGUGUGAAAGCCCUCAGCUCAACUGAGGAAGUGCGCCCGAAACUGCAGAGCUUGAGUGCCGGAGAGGGUGGCGGAAUUCCCCAAGUAGAGGUGAAAUUCGUAGAUAUGGGGAGGAACACCAGUGGCGAAGGCGGCCAUCUGGACGGUGACUGACGCUGAGACGCGAAAGCGUGGGGAGCAAACAGG
rnacentral:rRNA from 1 species